rnacentral:rRNA from 1 species
CGUGUAGGCGGGAAGUAACAAGUCAGAUGUGAAAUAACCGAGGCUUAACCUCGGGGCGUGCAUCUGAAACUAGUGUUUCUUGAGUGUCGGAGAGGAAAGUGGAAUUCCCAGUGUAGCGGUGAAAUGCGUAGAUAUUGGGAGGAACACCAGUGGCGAAGGCGACUUUCUGGACGAUAACUGACGCUGAGGCGCGAAAGCGUGGGGAGCAAACAGGAUUAGAUACCCUGGUAGUCCACGCUGUAAACGAUGGAUACUAGGUGUAGGAGGUAUCGACCCCUUCUGUGCCGGAGUUAACACAAUAAGUAUCCCACCUGGGGAGUACGGCCGCAAGGUUGAA